rnacentral:rRNA from 1 species
GAGUCAGUAGGUUGGUCGUGCCACCGGUACGUACUGGUCUCACUGAUUCCUCCUUCCUGAAGAACCGUAAUGCCAUUAAUUUGGUGUUGCGGGGAAACAGGACUGUUACUUUGAAAAAACUAGAGUGUUUAAAGCAAGCUAACGCUUGAAUACAUUAGCAUGGAAUAAUGAAAUAGGACGAUCGAUCCUAUUUUGUUGGUUUCUAGGAUUGACGUA